rnacentral:rRNA from 1 species
GACGAACGCUGGCGGCGUGCUUAACACAUGCAAGUCGAACGAUGAAGCCGGAGCUUGCUCUGGUGAAUUAGUGGCGAACGGGUGAGUAACACGUGAGUAACCUGCCCUUGACUCUGGGAUAACUGCUAGAAAUGGUAGCUAAUACCGGAUACGACCCUCGGAGGCAUCUCCAGGGGGUGGAAAGAAUUUCGGUCAAGGAUGGACUCGCGGCCUAUCAGCUAGUUGGUGAGGUAACGGCUCACCAAGGCGACGACGGGUAGCCGGCCUGAGAGGGGAACCGGCCACACUGGGACUGAGACACGGCCCAGACUCCUACGGGAGGCAGCAGUGGGGAAUAUUGGACAAUGGGCGCAAGCCUGAUGCAGCAACGCCGCGUGAGGGAUGACGGCCUUCGGGUUGUAAACCUCUUUUAGUAGGGAAGAAGCGAAAGUGACGGUACCUGCAGAAAAAGCACCGGCUAACUACGUGCCAGCCGCCGCCGUAA